rnacentral:rRNA from 1 species
UACGAAGGGGGCUAGCGUUGCUCGGAAUGACUGGGCGUAAAGCGUGCGCAGGCGGUUCUAUAAGACAGAUGUGAAAUCCCCGGGCUCAACCUGGGAACUGCAUUUGUGACUGUAGAGCUGGAGUACGGCAGAGGGGGGAUGGAAUUCCGCGUGUAGCAGUGAAAUGCGUAGAUAUGCGGAGGAACACCGAUGGCGAAGGCAAUCCCCUGGGCCUGUACUGACGCUCAUGCACGAAAGCGUGGGGAGCAAACAGG